rfam:Schistosoma mansoni strain Puerto Rico chromosome W, complete genome
AUCCAGCUGCCGAGUCCCAAAUAGGACGAAACGCGCGUCAAACUGGAU